rnacentral:rRNA from 1 species
AUGCUCCAGGUUCUGCGGUACAUCAACCUGUCAAACAACCGGCUCACUGGGGGCCUCCCAGGAUGUUGGUGCGGCCUUCAUGCUCUAUGGUUCAUGAACCUGUCCGAAAACUUGCUCAUUGGGAAGCUCUCGGACUGCUGGUGGAAUUUGCAAGCUCUGGAGUACAUGAACCUGUCCAACAAUUCCUUCUCAGGUGAAAUCCAUGCGGGUAAAUCAAGCCACAACUGCUCUCUCAAGUCACUGUAUCUUGCCAAAAAUGGCUUCAGCGGUGUCUUCCCACAGGUCCUAUGGGGUUGCAAGUUGCUAGUCACCCUAGACAUCGGGAGCAAUAGGUUCUUUGGUGCUCUCCCUCCAUGGAUUGUGAUUCAAGUUCCAUCAUUGCAAAUCCUUAGCCUCCGAUCAAAUAACUUCACCGGAGAAAUUCCUUUGGAGCUAUCACGGCUUCCACAACUCCAGUUGCUCGACAUGGCAAACAAUAGCUUUACUGGAGCAAUUCCGGUAGCCUUCGGAAACUUGACCUCGAUGAGGGAUCCAGAAAAUACGUCGACUCCGAGACGGCUCGACGGAACGAAAUACCAGGAUAGGAUCAACAUAAACUGGAAGGGGCAAGAGCUAACUUUCCAAAGAAACCUCCGUUUACUAACUGGUAUAGAUUUGUCGCGCAAUUUCUUAUCCCAGUGCAUCCCUAAGGAGCUAACCAAACUUAAGGGCCUCCGGUUUCUGAACCUAUCAAGAAACCAUCUAUCAUGCAACAUUCCAGAAGACAUUGGUAGUUUGAUUUUUCUCGAGUGCCUCGAUGUGUCAUCUAAUGAACUUACAGGAAACAUUCCUCUGAGCAUCUCAAGCUUAACGGCGCUUAGCACAUUCAAUAUCUCGAACAAUCUUUUGUCAGGCAAGAUACCUGUUGGGAGUCAGAUGCAGACCUUGACCGACCCAUCGAUUUACUCCAACAAUUCAGGGCUCUGUGGAUUUCCUCUAGAAAUUCCGUGUGCAAAUACUUCGCUUGCACCGGAUGAAAGAAAUGAUGAAGAAGUGGACCAUUGGAUGUACUACUUUGUGAUUGCUGGGAUUGUGUUUGGUUUCUGGUUGUGGUUUGGGGUGCUCUUUACAAUCAAGACCUGGAGAUGUGGUUUUCUCUUGUUUGUUGAUGGCAUGCAAUGUAAUUUUACAAAGAAUGUGUCAUAUUAG